rnacentral:piRNA from 1 species
UGGUGAGUGGAGCAUUUUCCCUGGCAUGA